rnacentral:lncRNA from 1 species
UGACCACCUUACUGCUACCCUGUACUUUGCAAAUUGCUUUAUUAUAAUUGCCAGAAGUAGGUGGGAAGACAGCAGCAGUGGAUACAGUGCUGAUUACAAACUCCUACAAGCUCUGGCAUUGAAUAUAUUUUGGAGCCCAAAGCAGCUACAAGAGCCUGUCUUUCCUGAACCACCUAAGGCAGAGCUUGCCAACACAGGCAAGGCAGGCUUGGAGGCAGACGCAAACACUCUGAUGUAACUGGAGUCUGAGUUGCUGCUGUUAGCAUGGCGUCAAGCCAAGCUCAUUAGACUUGCCAAGCGUCAGGCUUAUUAGCUCCAGCCCUGUACUGUGCUAAUGCAAUUGCACCGCUUUUAGGUGUAAGUUACUUCUGGCAUCCUGUGGCUCCGCGCAGAAGUGGCGCGUUGGACUCCCUCCUCACAAAAGGCAGGACAUUUGUCCUUGCUGAGACUACAGCUGUGCAUGCCCCAUGUAGACCCACCACCGCAGAUGUUUCCUCAGGAGAAAAAGAAGUCAGCUACCCAGGAAGGGUGACCUCUGCCCUUCCCUGCCUCUUGCUGUCUGUCACCUUCACUGGGAACUCACUAAGCUUUGCUCUGCAGGAAGCACAAUUAAAUGCUAACAUCUCCAUUGCACUCCCAUCAGGUGAGUCCACUCUGGAAAUUUAUUUGGUGGCCCAUGGAAUCAGACGGCGAGGCAGACAUUGUGACUGUAAUGCUGUAGCAUUUGAUACCCCUUUACAGUAAAAGUGUCGAAGAAUACAGGUGUCAUUUGGCCCAAAUUGUAAGCUGCCUCCGAGGUAGUUGUACCACAUGAUAAAAGCU